CCUACGGGCGGCUGCAGUGAGGAAUAUUGGUCAAUGGGCGCAAGCCUGAACCAGCCAUCCCGCGUGCAGGAAGACGGCCCUAUGGGUUGUAAACUGCUUUUCCAGGGGGAGAAUUUUUCUGUCGUGACAGGAAUUGACGGUACCCUGGGAAUAAGCAUCGGCUAACUCCGUGCCAGCAGCCGCGGUAAUACGGAGGAUGCGAGCGUUAUCCGGAUUUAUUGGGUUUAAAGGGUGCGUAGGCGGAUAGAUAAGUCAGUGGUGAAAACCUGCAGCUUAACUGUAGACUUGCCGUUGAUACUGUCAGUCUUGAGUAUGGUCAAGGUAGGCGGAAUGUGUAAUGUAGCGGUGAAAUGCUUAGAUAUUACACAGAACACCGAUUGCGAAGGCAGCUUACUGGGCCAUUACUGACGCUGAUGCACGAAAGCGUGGGGAUCGAACAGGAUUAGAUACCCCGGUAGUC
rnacentral:rRNA from 1 species